rnacentral:rRNA from 1 species
AUUGAACGCUGGCGGCAUGCUUUACACAUGCAAGUCGAACGGCAGCGCGGGCUUCGGCCUGGCGGCGAGUGGCGAACGGGUGAGUAAUGCAUCGGAACGUGCCCAGUAGUGGGGGAUAGCCCGGCGAAAGCCGGAGUAAUAACGCAUAAGACCUGAGGGUGAAAGCGGGGGACCGAAAGGCCUCGCGCUAUUGGAGCGGCCGAUGGCGGAUUAGCUAGUUGGUGGGGUAAAGGCUUACCAAGGCGACGAUCCGUAGCUGGUCUGAGAGGACGACCAGCCACACUGGGACUGAGCCACGGCCCAGACUCCUACGGGAGGCAGCAGUGGGGAAUUUUGGACAAUGGGGGCAACCCUGAUCCAGCCAUGCCGCGUGCGGGAAGAAGGCCUUCGGGUUGUAAACCGCUUUUGUUCGGGAAGAAAUCCUCUGGGCUAAUACCCCGGGGGGAUGACGGUACCGGAAGAAUAAGCACCGGCUAACUACGUG